rnacentral:rRNA from 1 species
UACGGGGGAGCAAGCGUUGUUCGGAAUUACUGGGCGUAAAGGGCGCGUAGGCGGCCUUCUAAGUCGAACGUGAAAUCCCCGGGCUCAACCCGGGAACUGCGUCCGAUACUGGCAGGCUUGAAUCCGGGAGAGGGAUGCGGAAUUCCAGGUGUAGCGGUGAAAUGCGUAGAUAUCUGGAGGAACACCGGUGGCGAAGGCGCAUCCUGGACCGGCAUUGACGCUGAGGCGCGAAAGCCAGGGGAGCAAACGGG